ensembl:lncRNA
AUGAUGAACUGCGGCCUCAGGCUCGGUUUGCGACCGCAUACUGCUCACACUGCUCAAAACUAUACACGCUACUCAUACUAUACACACUACACUACUCAUACUAUACACAAUACUCAUACUACACACACUACACUACUCACUCUGCUCACACUACACUACUCAUACUAUACACACUACAUUACUCAAACUACACACACCACUCAUACUAUACACGCUACUCAUACUAUACACACUACUCAUACUAUACACACUACACUGCUCAAAACUAUACACGCUACUCAAACUACACACACUACUCAUACUAUACACGCUACACUACAACUACUCACACUACUACUCAUACUAUACACGCUACUCUACUCAAACUACACACACUACUCAUACUAUACACGCUACACUACUCAAACUAUACACACUACUCAUACUAUACACACUACACUACUCAUACUAUACACAAUACUCAUACUACACACACUACACUACUCACUCUGCUCACACUACACUACUCAUACUAUACACACUACUCAUACUAUACACACUAUACUACUUAAACUAUACACACUACACUACUCACACUGCUCACACUACUCACACUACACUACUCAUACUAUACACACUACAUUACUCAAACUACACACACCACUCAUACUAUACACGCUACUCAUACUAUACACACUACACUACUCAAACUAUACACACUACUCAAACUAUACACACUACAUUACUCAAACUACACACACUACACUACUCACACUGCUCACACUACUCACACUACACUACUCAUACUAUACACACUACAUUACUCAAACUACACACACCACUCAUACUAUACACGCUACUCAUACUAUACACACUACACUACUCAAACUAUACACACUACUCAUACUACACACACACUAUUCACACUACACUACUCACACUACACUACUCAUACUAUACACACUACUCAUACUAUACAAACUACUCACACUACACUACUCAUACUAUACACACUACAUUACUCAAACUACACACACUACUCAUACUAUACACACUACUCACACUACACUACUCAUACUAUACACACUACACUACUCACACUACUCAUACUAUACACACUACACUACACACACUAUUCAUACUAUACACACUGCAUUACUACACACUACACUACUUAAACUUUACACACUAAUCAUACUACAAUACACUACUCACACUGCUCACACUAUUCAUACUAUACACACUCUACUACUACUACUACUACUACUACACACUACACUACUCAAACAUACACUUUAUUCAUACUAUACACACUACACUGCUCACACUACUCAUACUAUACACACUACACUACUCACACUGCUUACACUAUACACACUACUACUACUACUACUACUACCCACUACACUACAGAAAACUACACACACUACUCAUACUAUACACACUAUUCUACUACUACUACUACUACAAACUACAUUACUCAAACAUUCACUUUAUUCAUCCUAUACACACUACACUGCUUACACUAUACACACUACUACUACUACUACUACUACUGCUACUAAAACACACUACACUACAGAAAACUACACACAAUACUCAUACUAUACACACUACACAACUCAUACUAUACACUCUAUACUACUACACAUUACACAACUCACAAUGCUCAUACUAUACACACUACACUACUCACACUGCUAA